GCCUGGCUGGCUCAGUUGGUAGAGCCUUAGACUCUUGAGCUCUGGGGUUGUGAGUUCAAGUCCCACAUCGGGCU
rnacentral:tRNA from 1 species